AUGGAGGUGGCAUUUGGGUGUCUUGGGUGUCCCCAGUGUCCAUUGGGUGGUGGUGGCACUCAGGCGUCCCCAAUGUCCCCAGUGUCCGUUGGGUGGUGGUGGCACUUGUGUGACCCCAGUGUCCCCAACUUCCUUUGGGUGGAGGUGACACUCAGGUGUCCCCAGUGUCCGUUGGGUGGUGGUGGCACUCGGGUGUCUUGGGUGUCCCCAAUGUCCAUUGGGUGGAGGUGACACUCAGAUGUCCCCAAUGUCCUUUGGGUGGUGGUGGCACUCAGGUGUCCCCAGUGGCCCUUGGGUGGUGGUGACACUCAGGUGUCCCCAGUGUCCUUUGGGUGGUGGUGGCACUCAGAUGUCCCCAGUGUCCAUUGGAUGCAGG
rnacentral:lncRNA from 1 species